rnacentral:rRNA from 1 species
GACGAACGCUGGCGGCGUGCUUAACACAUGCAAGUCGGGGGGCGGGGUAACCCGUCACCGGCGAACGGGUGCGGAACACGUGGGCGACCGGCCCUGGCGUGGGGGAUAGCCGGCCCAACGGCCAGGUAAUACCGCAUACGACGCCCGCAUGGAAGCGGGCGGCGGAACUCGCACAAGGGGCUAGGAGGGGCUGGGGGCCUGUCAGCUAGGUGGUGCGGUAACGGCGCAGCAAGGCGAUGAGGGGUCGCUGGUCUGAGAGGAUGGCCAGGCACAGUGGGACUGAGAGACGGCCCAGACUACGACGGGAGGCAGCAGUGUGGAAUAUUGCGGAAUGGGCGAAAGCGUGACGCAGCGACGGUGCGUGGAGGAUGAGGCUCUUCGGGGUGUAAAGUCCUGUUGCAAGGGACGAAUGCCCCGCCUCCGCGGGGUUGACGGUACCGGGUGAGGAAGCACCGGCUAACUCUGUG